rnacentral:tRNA from 1 species
AGCUGAGAUCGGCGGGAUUUCGGGUGUUGAAGGCUCCCGACAUUCCCUCGGUGCUGCUCGAGCUUGGCUUC